AAUCAUGAAUCCAACUGCUGGAGACACUUGUGCACAGUAGAUACAAACUUUCAGUUGGCUUGGGUAACUACCCGGAAGCUCCACCACUGGGCUCCUGUGCUCAGAACACAAUUAGGUUCUUCGGAAGCUGAGGACUGCCCUCCAGAACGCCUACACCGUCUGCCUCGUUUUUGCCAUCGAUGGCAGAGUUCCUGCUGCUACCCAGCCUUCGUUUUGAUUUGGUGAGACUUUGAUUUGGUAGGCAUCCCAUAGUGUGUGGUGGCAUCUACCAACAUGAGGGUGCCUUUACUUGAUUAUUUAUUUGUUCAUUGGACACCUGUGCAUCCUCUUUGGAGAAAUGUCUAUUCAGAUAUUUUUGUCCAUUUUUAAGCUGAGUCUGUCUUUUCUUUUCCUUCCUUCCUUUCUUUCUUUCUUUCCUUCCUUCCUUCCUUUCGAUUUAAGGGACCUUGGUAUAAUUUGGAUACAAAUCAUUUAUUAGUUAUUCCUAAAUAUUUGUCCCAGCAUACCACUUUUCUUUACGCUUAACGCAGUCACUGGCAGAGGAGAACAUUUUUUUUUAAUCUUUAUUUUUUUAAUCUUUAUUAACUUGAGUAUUUCUUAUUUACAUUUCAAUUGUUAUCUCCCUUCCCAGUUUCUGGGCCAACAUCCCCCAACCCCUCCCCCUCCCGUUUUGUAUGGACUUCCCCUCCCCAUCCUCCCCCCAUUUCCACCCUCCCCCCAACAAUCACGUUCACUAGGUGUUCAGUCUUGGCAGGACCAGAGGAGAACAUUUUAAUAGAGCACUCUGUCGUCUACUCUUACAUCUUGCCUCCAAGCUUCCCCUCUGAAAGGUCGUCCUAGAGCCACAGAGCCACGGCUGCCUCCUCCCGCUACCUUCUGAAAGCAUCCCAGAGUUGCAGCUUACAUUGGUUUUCUGAGGAACAGAAGGUCCGAGUUUAUUUAAAAAAAAAAAAAAGGUGGGUCUUCAGUUGUCUCCAAACCCUGUCUCUCUCGCAGCUCAUUUAAAUAUUAUCUACUAGCCGAGGUUCACCAGCCUGAUCCAACCUGGUACAGAGUCUUAGCACUAAACUUACAAUUUAGGCUCUGGGCUUUUCAGACUGAGAAUUUUUGCCGGGUUGUGGGUUUCUGAGUUAUGUAAUAUCCAUUUCUUGCUGACAUUGUGCACUCUGACUUUAUUGUUUAAUCUCCUUAAACAUAACAAGUGCGUUCAUAGUUUGGACGUAACCAUGAGAUAUCAGAAGCAUUUGUGGGUCUCUAUUCCUACCUGUGUAUACCUUCUUUAUCUCUGAAUAUACCUUUCAUUUUGUGUUUUUGCUUUGUUUUGUAUCACUAAGGAUGGAACCUUGUGCACACUGAGACACACCCUCAGUGUUAGAUGUUGUUUUUAGAGGUGGUGGUGGAAUCCUUAAAGACAUGGAUUACGUCUGUUUCUUCCUGUGGCUUCCAGGCACCUGAAUCCUGGAACUGCUUUAUUAUGACGACUUUAGUCCUUGACGUUGCCUGGAUUGGAGGUGUGUGCAUUUGUUUUGGUUCCUGGUUUUUGUUGAUUCCUUUGUUUCUGAGACAGGGUCAGGGUCUCACCAGGUAGCUCUGGCUGGUCUGACUGGCUAUGUAGACCCAAGUAGCUCUGAAUUUAUGGAGAUCCUCCUGCUCCUGUCUUCGGAGUGCUGGCAUUAUAGGUUACGUUUUGUCCUACUGGGUCACGAGUCUCACUACAUAGCCCAGGUUGGCCUGCCCCAGCCCUUGAGUGUUGGGAUUUCAGGAAAGUGCCACCACACUGUAACACGAUGACUUGGGACCUGACAGGAUCCACCCGACAGUUGAUUCUCUUUUGUUUUACCUUUACAUGCCACCCAAGGCCUGGUCUCAACCCACUGUCCUGACCUCAGUGUUGGGUAUUUAGCAAGGACUUCAGCUCUCACAGGUUGUGAAUGAGCCCCUACACCUUGGCCUGUCCACAAAGCUGCCCCCAGCCUUGUUCUGAUUGGAAGCUGUUUGUACCUGAGCGUUAUACACAAAACCUCCGGGGUCCACUGGGCCUUGGUCUAGUAAUCUAUCCUUCACUAACCCUGCUGUAUUUCCAGCUCCUUCAAGCACAGGCUUAAAAACCUGUAAUCACAUGUAUGUAUGUAUGUAUGUAUGUAUGUAUGUAUGUAUGUAUGUAUGUAUGUAUGUAUGUUUGUAUAUGUAUCUAUCUAUCUAUCCAUCCAUCCAUCCAUCCAUCCAUCCAUCUGGGUGCUUACAUGAAUGACAGGGUGUUCCUGUAGAAGUCAGAGGACAGAGUUUUGGGAGUCCAGUUUCUCUUUCGACCACAUGAGUGGGUUCUGGGGUUUGAACUUAGGUCUGCAUCCCAAGCUUGGGCUUGAACUUGAUGGAGGAGGUGACCCUGAUCCCCCAGUAUGUCGCUUCUGACUUCAAGGUCAGAACAGGGACUUCCUAUCCUAUGAACAUCACAUACUUAUGGUCCCAGCACAACUGAUUUCAUAUUACACACAUGCUUAGCUCACCGCUAUCACAACACCGAGACUAAGUCUGCUUCAUGGACAAGUUGUUCCUACUUAGUAAUCUGUUAAGGUGAGUCACCCCACCUGCCCUGAGGCCUCUGAUCACUGACGCACAGAUCUCGUCAUCUUACAAAGCAUGAAUGGCGCUUUUGUUCUUCCCACAGCCAGUCAUCCCCUAAGUCUCUGUGUCUUUAAUAUAUUUUACUCUGUUUUAUCACUUUCUUGGUUUCAGGCCAACCUUUAGGCUUCCCGAAUGUACCCCAUACAGUGGAUUAUCUGCUACUAAGUGGGUAUAUUUUUAACAUGAUGAUUUAACAUUACUUUUGAGAAUUUCAUGGCCAUUCUUAGGAAUGAUUUUUAGCAUAGCACUGUGCACCAGUAUGUUCAUGUAAAAAGUAGUAGUGGUUGUUCAUAAUGUCCUUGUGCCUUGUCAACUUCAAUGCUUUUCCUUCUCUGAGCAGCCAAAGGUGGCAUGGCUUUCUCGGUGGGAAACAAGGCUAUCUUAUUACCAGGAUGACUGUAUGCUUUGAAACCUCUGGGAGCAAAAAAAAAGAUACAGAUAGCUAAAGGAGCAUGUAUCCUCCUAGAGCAGAAAACCUUCAAGACCGUAGAUUUUAUGAAUCAUGAUCACCUCAGCAAUUACUCAGGGACAACUGUCAGGACCCUCCACAUCUGACCAUGAAUGACGACCAGCUCAGCUCACUUCAGAAACAUUAGCUACUUCCUUUCUCUUGAGACACCUCCUACUGUUUAUUCAGUGCAUGCCUUCCUUGCUGGAGUUCAAACUCUUAGUGCCAAAGAUAAUAUGAAUGGUGCCUUCAAUAACUAUAAGGCAUGAAAUAACAUUUUAUCAGUUUUCCAUAAUCCAAGAGCUAUGUUAGUUUUCUUCAUAGCCCCAGGGGAAAUAAGCUUGUCUUUUCUCCCAUGUUCUCAUGUGUCCUAGACUCCGACCAUGUGGAGAAGUUUGCCCUAAUUCUAUCUUAGAAAGCAUGGUUGUAAUCAGUGUCAUUACCUAGGGUUGGUCACUUUGCUAGUGACUUGUGGUACUAAACAUCUCUCUAAUACUCAGCAAAAGGCUCCCUGAUGAUAAAUUCACUUUCAUUUAUUCAGGGCUGCUCACUCAAAUACCUUCUCAUGGCUGUGCCAUUUAUACUUGAACCUCUGGGGUUUCCACCAGUAAAAAGGUCAUCAUAAGUUGGCCAAGGCAGUGGGGGACAGCUUUGACUAGCAGUCACUGUAAUUAGCUAAGAGCUCUGAUUCAGCUUACAGAAUCAGUUGGUGUUCGAUCAGAAUGUCUGGAAAACCUUUCCAAAGAUAUUAACUCCUCUUGGAAAGACAGAAGAUAGUUUGUAACUAGUUAACCAAAUUUUAUUCCUGAGGACCUGCUUUUAGUCUUCUGCUUUCUAGAAAGUCCACUGUCUUAGUUACUGCUGUUGUAAAACAUCAUGACCAAAAGCAACGUGGGAAGGAAGGACAUGAGAAGCAGGAGCUGAUACAGAGGCCAUGGAGGGAUGCUGCUUCCUGGCUUGCUCCCCUGGCUUGCUCAGCCUGCUUUCUUAUAGAACCCAGGACCACCAACUCAAGGGUGGCACCACCUACAAUAGGCUGGGCCUUCUCAUAUCAAUUCUGAAUUAAGAAAAAUGUCCUACAGACUUGCCAGUCUGAUGGGGGCAUUUUCUCAGUUGAGAUCCCUCUUCCCAAAUGACUCUAGCGUGCCUUGAGUUGAGCACAGUUAUGCCAAUCUCUCUUAGCAUAUGAGCCAGCACCUGCUUCUUCUUCUUGCUAAACUCCUUUAGAGAUCAGCAGGACAGAAGCACUCCCCGGCACAGAUUCAAGGAUCUUCUGAGAAUGUAAGAAUGGGUGAGAACAUUGCCAACAUAGGGUAAGAAACACGCUGCCAGGGCUGGAGAGAUGGCUCAGUGGUUAAGAGCACUGACUGCUCUUCCAGAGGUCCUGAGUUCAAAUCCAGCACCCACAUGGUGGCUCACAACCAUCUGUAAUGGGAUCUGGCGUCCUGUCUGGGCAGGGGGGAUGUAUAUGCAGCAGAGCACUCAUACACUAAAUAAAUAAAAUUAAAAAAAAAAAAAAAGAAACACGCUGCCUACAUCAGGGCCAACAUGCUGGCUCAGGCUUAAAUUUUAAAUUAGAAUGCUAGUCUUAGUUCCGCGGUGGCCAGGUAUUACCCACAGGUUCCUGCGAUGAGUUGGGAUCGUAACUGCGUACUAAGUCCGUGCUGAUGCCCAGUUCCACGCCAGCACUUACCUUGGGAGGCUUUCUUCACGACGAAAAGAAAAAAAUUCAAUAGCGGAGACACAGAAGGUUGUCAACACAAUGGCCACAUCAGAGGGAAACAAUGAAAGAGAAAAAGAAAAGAAAAAAACAAAAAACAAAUUCAGCAACUUCGUAAUGGGAUCUGGAAAGCCACAUAUAACUAGGGGCCUGCGGUGAUAAACCUUUCACUGUGGGCAUGGAUUGAGGGGAUGUUUUAAAUGGCUUUAAGAAAUGGUGGUAGUGAAGGAGAUACGGAAAUCCUAUAACCGUACUGCGCAUAGCUGGAUUCUUUUAAACUAGCUUUACAUGUAAAUUUUCUUCCUGGCUCCCACCUUUUUUCUUUGGGAUAGGGUUUCACAUAAUUCAGGCCGGCCUUGAACUAGGAACAGCAAACGAUGACCUUGAGCGUCUGAGCCUCGUCUCUACCACCUGAUUGCUACAAUUAUAGUGCUGAAAAAAAAAUCACUGAGCCUCAGUAGCAGCCCUGCAAUGUUCAUUUUUGCAAGUUAACAAUUCAGAAAUGAUUGAAGUUUUAUACUCGAAGGAAACAUCAAAAGGUGAAGGUUACAAAGCAAGAAAGCAUGAGCUCGACACGCCUUGUAAAUAUUUCCCUUCCAUGGGGAUUUCCAGACCUGGAGUUUGACUUCUAGGCUAUGGGAUCCUAGGAUAGUUCUUGGCUUUCCUGGUGUGUUGUUCCUGAUCACGCUCUUAUAAUAUCAAUUCAAAAAUGUGAAUAACUGUCGAGAAAUGGGGCGCCCUCCCUAUGCCUUCAUGGCAGUCAGGAUCACGGGGAUCAGAAGACUAAGCUGAGGUGUGGUGUGUACAUCCUCCCUGUGCCCAGGUACAGAGAGACAAGCAAGAGGCAGGAGGACCGACGGGCACGAGCUUGAGACCAGCCUAGCUCGUCUCCAUAAAUUCCAGAGCAGCCCGGACUACACAGCAAGACUGUCUCAGAAAAGGGAUAGAGGUUAAUUAAUUUAAUUUAAAUUCAUUGAAUCUUCUCCAGCACGAGGCCCUACGAUCCCCAUAGAACUUCAAGGGCCACUUGAAAUAUUCAUAGCUCAGAAGCAGAGAAAGUCAUGGACUCAGACGGGUGGACGGUUCUACACUUCUGAACGCAAGCAAAGAAAAGCGAAGACACUCCCCUCGUGUUGAAACUGAGGCAUCAUUUCCCUGGCAGCCCAUGAACUAGCCAGAAGGCCGUCAGUCGGUGUGCCUAUGCCUACCUUGGACACAGUGAGGAUUCCACUUUGGCGUUAUAGCUCUUUGUCUGGUCUAACUGGUAUUUCUAGUUGUUAUCGGGCCAGUCUGAAUCUAUGAGCUAGUCCCCCCCUCCAGACAAGACAGGCUGUGAGGAUGUCACGCUAAAAAUGCAUGGGUGUUUUUAACACCAGGAGUUUUCAUUCUCUACCCAAAGCUUGAGUUUUCUGCAGAGAACGCUGGAUGCAUCUGGUCUGCGCAGGGACAGUGAAAUUGAGAGCUUUACGCACCGUGCUGCUGAUGAAACCUCGUUUUUGCCUGCUUUACUUCAAUGUCCUUUAAACCACUGCUUUAUUUGACAAGGGAAAGUCACGUGGGUUAUAUUAGGGCCAUCACAUGUGUCCAGUUAAUACUGCCAUCCCUUGGCAUCCGUGAGGAUAGAUCCCCAAAUCCGUGGAUGCUCAACUACCUUACAUAAAAUGGUACAGUGCUUGCAUAUGACCCGCACACACCUCCUGUCCACCUAAACCCUCUCUAGACCACCUAACAUAACAAGUGCUAGGUAAAUAGGUGUUGUACUGAAUUGCUGGGGGAACAGUCACAAGCGUCUACACGGUCAGUACAGGCCGUUGAGUCUGAGGACCUAGAAUCGACACAGAGGACCGACCGCACAACGUCCUGUUUAACUACAGUGAACCAUUCAACCCAAUGAGGUGAGACAGAUGAAAUGGAACCUCACGGAGCCUCCAGUGACAUCACUGUCGCAUGGCUCCCUCUACCAACCCACAGGCUAGCAAGGAAUAGACACAGGGCAAAGGGAGUCACAAACUCAUGGGUGGCCACCCACUCCGACUCAGUAUCUGGUCUAGAAAGCAGACUCUUUAGAGAAGAAAACCAUCUUCUCCGUACAUCAUAUAUCCUGCGCACUAUUACCUGGGCAGCUUUUUGGAAAGUGUGAAUUGGGCGGUGAGUAGCCAAGAUGCCUACAUCCCCAGAGGUUGUGAGGCAAACCGGAGGACCCCAAUCCGGCCUGGACAGGGAAAAAUUGCUACCACACUAUUAAGUCCCGUGACACCCCUCCACACUUGUUAAGUCCCGUGACACCACUCGACGGGCAUCGGCCGUUUGCUUUGUCGCACACACAACGUUCCCCAUUGUCUUUAAAAAAAGAGUAGCUUUUAUCUUUCUGGGUUAUUUUAUUUUGUGUGUCUGUGUGGAGCUGAGCGCACACAUGAGCAUCACGGUGUGAGCACGGGGCAGUGCAGGCCAGCAGAGGCCAGUGAGGGAGGCCAGCACCCUGGAGCUGCAGUUACUACUGGUGGCUGUAAGCAACCAUGUGGGUGCUGGGGACUGAACCCUUACCUGUAAAAGCACAGCAUGUACUCUUAACUGCUGAGCCAGCACUCCGGGCCCUGCUGCCCGUUCCUUGUUUGUUUUGUGGCAGGGUCUCACUGUGUGCUACAGGAUCAAUUCUCCCAUCUCCACAUGCCCAGUGCUGAAAUUAUAAGCAUGCCUAUUUGACCUUGUAAGUGGCCCCCAUUUACUGUUUGUUCUUCCCGUUGGUAAGCUAAGAUGUUGGACUCCAUAGAGUUCACCCCUCCCCACCUUGAACUGGAACCUGUUAGGGUUUUCCCUGGUGCUGAAGCUACUCUGACGACCAACAAGGGCAUCACCGUCCACCUCGAGGUCAAUAUGGCCGCUCAGGGGCCGGAGAGAUGGCUCAGAGGUUAAGAGCACUGACUGCUCUUCCAGAGGUCCUAAGUUCAAUUCCCAGCAACCACAUGGUGGCUCACAACCAUCUGUAAUGAGAUCGGAUGCCCUCUUCUGGUGUGUCUGUCUGAAAACAGCUACAAUAUACUUAUAUAUAAUAAACAAAUAAAUAAAAUCUUUAUUUUUUUUUCUAUUUUUCGGAGCUGGGGACCGAACCCAGGGCCUUGCACUUCCCAGGCAAGCGCUCUACCACUGAGCUAAACCCCCAGCCCCUAAUAAAAUCUUUAAAAGGUA